rnacentral:lncRNA from 1 species
GGCGGUUCUCUUCGAGUUGGCAGUGUUCAUCUUCCGGUUCGUUCGUCGAAGGAAGGUUUAUUUUAUCAGAUUUUAUUCACUAUUUUUGUAAUCUGUGAAACUCAUUUUUAGUGGAACUGUUAAUCACUUUUUAUAGUGAUUAACGACUGGACGUGGAUUCUUUUGAAUAGAACCAGUAUUAAAGUUACUUGUGUGAUUUUUCUACUCCCUGCACUUGUUAUUUUUAUUUGCACAUCAA